rnacentral:rRNA from 1 species
CGUGUAGGCGGUGCGGUAAGUUGGGCGUGAAAUCCCCGAGCUUAACUCGGGUGGGCCGUUCAAGACUGCCGUGCUAGGGUGCGGGAGAGGGAAGUGGAAUUUCCGGUGUAGCGGUGAAAUGCGUAGAUAUCGGGAGGAACACCUGCGGCGAAGGCGGCUUCCUGGACCGUAACCGACGCUGAGGCGCGAAAGCUAGGGGAGCAAACAGGAUUAGAUACCCUGGUAGUCCUAGCCCUAAACGAUGAGCACUGGGUGUGGCCCCUCACGAGGCCGUGCCGAAGCUAACGCAUUAAGUGCUCCGCCUGGGGAUACGGUCGCAAGGCUAGAA